rnacentral:rRNA from 1 species
ACGCUAGCUACAGGCUUAACACAUGCAAGUCGAGGGGAAACGGCAUUGAGUGCUUGCACUCUUUGGACGUCGACCGGCGCACGGGUGAGUAACGCGUAUCCAACCUUCCCAUUACUGUGGGAUAACCUGCCGAAAGGCAGACUAAUACCGCAUAGUCUUCGAUGACGGCAUCAGAUUUGAAGUAAAGAUUUAUCGGUAAUGGAUGGGGAUGCGUCUGAUUAGCUUGUUGGCGGGGUAACGGCCCACCAAGGCGACGAUCAGUAGGGGUUCUGAGAGGAAGGUCCCCCACAUUGGAACUGAGACACGGUCCAAACUCCUACGGGAGGCAGCAGUGAGGAAUAUUGGUCAAUGGACGGAAGUCUGAACCAGCCAAGUAGCGUGCAGGAUGACGGCCCUAUGGGUUGUAAACUGCUUUUGUAUGGGGAUAAAGUUAGGGACGUGUCCCUAUUUGCAGGUACCAUACGAAUAAGGACCGGCUAAUUCCGUGCCAGCAGCCGCGGUAAUACGGAAGGUCCAGGCGUUAUCCGGAUUUAUUGGGUUUAAAGGGAGCGUAGGCUGGAGAUUAAGUGUGUUGUGAAAUGUAGACGCUCAACGUCUGAAUUGCAGCGCAUACUGGUUUCCUUGAGUACGCACAACGUUGGCGGAAUUCGUCGUGUAGCGGUGAAAUGCUUAGAUAUGACGAAGAACUCCGAUUGCGAAGGCAGCUGACGGGAGCGCAACUGACGCUUAAGCUCGAAGGUGCGGGUAUCAAACAGGAUUAGAUACCCUGGUAGUCCGCACAGUAAACGAUGGAUGCCCGCUGUUGGUACCUGGUAUCAGCGGCUAAGCGAAAGCAUUAAGCAUCCCACCUGGGGAGUACGCCGGCAACGGUGAAACUCAAAGGAAUUGACGGGGGCCCGCACAAGCGGAGGAACAUGUG